GAAACUGAAGCACAGAGAGGUUAUGCAGCUUUCCCAGGUUCAUGUAGCUGGUAAGAACAGAGUCCAUGUUCUUAUCACUCAAGAUGUUCUGUUGGGGACGGCAUGCCAUGGUCUUAAGGAUCGCCCCCUUCUCAGAUGAUCUGCUGCUCACCUCAGAUACCUACAGAGACUCUGCUGGUGCCUGUCAAAGGUGCUGUCACCUCCCACUCCCACAAAAAGUGCCGCUGCUCUCUCUCAUCUGCUGAAGGUAGCACUGCUGGAAGUCUUGUAUGGAAGUGGAAGAUCUGAUGUCUUUGCUGAAUGUAUUAGCACCUCUGGUUGGCAAGGUUGCUAGUGUUCCACUCUGCUGAUGCAGGCACUGGUGGUGGCAUUGAUGUGAUAAAGACUUCAAAGCACCAAUAGGUUCUCUACUGAAGUGGAAAGGAUCUUUUUAUGUCUUUUGUCUUAUAUUUCUACCUGGGCUCCAAAGUCAUGCUUCCUGGUGUUGCCAGUGAGCAGGGAGAAUUUAGUGAAGAAGCUUUUUGCAGAGAUGACUAGCUGUCUGCUAAAAUUCCAUUAUGUAGAAUAAGUGCCAAGAAGUAGCCACACACACAUUAAAAAAAAAUUCUGAGCCCCUGUACCCCACCUUUGCAUUUAGUGGAGUCAUAGGACUAGCUCACACCCAUGUGAACAGAGCUGAUGUGUCUCAUUUCUGGGCCAAGGAGUUUAAGAAGUGGGGUUUGUCUCCUUUACAUUCUCUUUUUCCUCUUCUGCCAGCUCUAAUACCUCAAGGAAUGUCAGAAUAUGGGACAGAAGGAGCCAGGACAUCCACCUUGCACUGUUCUGGGAGGAAGAAAUACAUUUUCUGGCCUGCGCAGGGUGGCUCACGCCUGUAAUCCCAGGACUUUGGGAGGCUGAGGUGGGCAGAUUGCCUGAGCUCAGGAGUUUGUGACCAGCCUUGGCAACACAAGGAAACCCCAUCUCUACUAAAAUACAAAAAAUUAGCCAAGUGUGGCAGCGCGAGCCUGUAAUCCCAGCUACUUGGGAGGCUGAGGCAGGAGAAUUG
rnacentral:lncRNA from 10 species